GGGAGCCCUACAGACACCAGGCUCGAUCCCAGGACCCUGGGAUCACGACCUGAGCCGAAGGCAGAUGCUUAACGGACUGAGCCCCCCAGGCGCCCCUGGUUGCGUCCUUCUGUCGACCUCCCCCGGCACAGGUUUCUGACACCUUGAAAGACAUGGUCUUAAUGAUUCAUCCUCACAAACGUGUGUGAGACAAACAGCGACAGAGCGUCUUAACCUACACUUCUGUGCCUUGACAUCACUGGUGGGAUUGCUAUCAAGGGUGCGAGAGGCUGAAAUCAGAAACACACCCGCCCGCCCCGGCCUCAGACAGCAGCUCUUAGAUGGCCAGUUCAAGGGAAGGUCUUGAAAUUGUAUAUGGGAUACAGAGAACUUGCCCUCAGUCUUGGGUUUAAAAUGCAGUGAGUGAAUCAGAAAAAUCCUAAUAUAGUCCUUGACUGUUAUGUUUGAACAAAUGAUGUAAAUUAUGGUUCUUCCUUAACAAGAUUAUGAAGAUGAACUGAAUCACUUGACAGCUUAAGAUGCCCGAGUUCAAAGGCACGUAUCAUACGCUUGCAAAGAUAAAAGCUGCAGAGAACUACAAUAAAUUCUCAAGGAGAGACGGCAAGGAUGAGUGAAAAAGAAUUGUUUGAAUACCACCAUUUAAAAAAAUAAGACUUAGCUUGGAUUUUUGAGAGAAAAAAAAAAAAAGCAGCAGUUUCUGGCAUAUCAGAGCUGUGCUUGAAGCAAAAGGUGGGUGGAAGACUGCCAAUGCAAGAACGGAAGGAGGGCAAAGACGCAUCCGGUAAGAAGGCCAGACCGGAAGUUAGGAAAAUCGAUGUCAGGCACAUCGGCUUCCGUCUGUCCUCCGAUGCUAGUCAAGCUCAUCCAUUCUCAGGGGUUCAGAACCAUCACAGGCCAGUGACUCGCACAACUGUGCCCGCCUCGACCUGUGCGGCUCAUGGACUUCUUGGCGUCUGCUCAAACUGUCUCAUGGAGACCGCAAACUCAGCCCAGCGAAGCAGCACGCUCGAUCCCGUCCACUAAACCUCCCUCCCUGAAGUCUUUCCCACUUAUUCACUCAACACACACACACACACACACACUCUUUCCCUCACACACACACACACACACACACACACACACACACACACACACAGUUUAUCUUUUCCAGACAGAGACUGGGAACCAACCAUGUGACGCUCAUAGACAUUCAUACCACCCACAUUUUCUUGGGAAAGAGAGAUAUAAAGAGUGAACAAAUUAACAAGAUAAGUUCAGGUAGUGAUAAAACAAGAGUGUACGGAGGCCCAGGACCAAACCACAAGACUGUGUGUUGCUUCUCUUUUCUGAAAUUUCUGAUGAUUCUGUUGGAAUGGGCUCCCCUAAGUGUCACUGGUAGGACGAAGGGUGUGUGAGUUCGGCUGCCGAGGAAGGCUUGUCUGAUGAAGCUGUGUUUGGGCUGCUGAUGGAGGAGCUGCUCCUUCAAAUAGGGAAGACAUGAGCUUGCAAAGGAAGGGCACUGACAAGCACAGGCCAGCGUGUGGGAGAGAGCGGGGCAUGGACCCAGAGCGGAGGGAGGGCGGUUGGAGAUGAGGUCAGAGGGAAAGGUGAGGUCUUGUUGGCCUAAGAUCGAUGUGUAUCAGUCAGCAAAGUCUAGAUUAGGCUGCUGUGAUAAACAGCCCCCAAAUCUCAGUAGUUUACAAUAAAGUUUAAUUUCUCGUUCACGUCUUCUGUUCACUGAGGACUACUAGGCAUUCCACACUUCUGUCCUUGAGGUAGAAUCCAUGGUGACUGGAUUCUGGCCUUGGAAGGAAGCAAAAUAAUGCAUUGUCACUGAAAUCUUCAACCCCAUAGUGACACGGAUCACCUCCCCCACAUUUCAUUGACAAGUCCUGCGCCUAGCCAGUGUCAGGGGAGGUGAUGUGCUUGGCGCAGGCAGGAGCAGACUGCUUGUGAAGAGCCCUAGGAACAGCCGCAUGCAGCUAAAGAUUCAUUCUCAAGCAAUAGGAAACUAUUGGAGUAUCUUAGGCAGUGAUAGGCAUGAUUUGGUUCAGGUUUUUACAAGAUACUCAGCAUGCGGAGUGGUGGCUACGGGGAAAAUAUGAGGGCGGUGGAGGCCAGGAGGCAGGGAGGCUGCUGGAAGGUAGAGAUGAGUGGAGGCUUAGCCUGGGGUGGGGGUGGCCAGGAUGGGCAGCACAUGGUAUGAAAAUGGAACUGGAGAUCAGGAACCUGGAACCCACCCUGACCCCCAGCUCUCACCUCCUUCUCUCGCUGAUCCACUGACAAAACAGAGUCCGGGUCCAUCUGAUUUAGCCCCAACCAAGGUAGCUUCAGCCUCUCACCUGCUCUCUCCCCAAGACCCCCAUGUGGCCCCCUAAGCCAUUCCCCAUGGUGUGCCUGAGGUGUCUUAGGAUGGACGUGGGGUCCCCUGACCCCCUCUUGCUCACAGCUGCUCCUCGUGCCUCCUGGGACACUCUCCUCUGUGGCCCCUGCUCCUGGGCCCUCCACCUGCAGGUGUUUCCCCUCAGCUAUUCACUCAGUUCUCAGCUCUCCCUCACUUGCACAGCUCCUCACCCCUCCCUGCUGAGACGUUCAUGCACACACUCCCAUGCACACCCAUGCACACAGUCACACACAUGCACUACCUUCGUACACAUG